AUUGAACGCUGGCGGCAGGCCUAACACAUGCAAGUCGAACGCGUGGCGGACGGGUGAGGAAUACAACGGAUUCUACUCUGUCGUGGGGGAUAAAGUAGGGAAACUUACGCCAAUACCGCAUACGAUUGAAUGAGCAGAUGUCGGAUGAGCUAGGUGGCGGGGUAAAGGCCCACCAAGGCGACGAUCCGUAGCUGGUCUGAGAGGAUGACCAACCACACUGGUACUGAGACACGGUCCAGACUCCUACGGGAGGCAGCAGUGGGGAAUAUUGGACCAUGGACGCAAGCCUGAUCCAGCCAUACCGAGUGGGUGAAGAAGGCCUUCGGGUUGUAAAGCCCUUUUGUUGGGAAAGCGGUACCCAAAGGAUAAGCACCGGCUAACUUCGUGCCAGCAGCCGCGGUAAUUC
rnacentral:rRNA from 1 species